GUGCUGUCAUCUGGGGCAUAUAGGAAGAUGAAGGCCUUGACAUUUAUGGAUCAAAAAGUGAUGGCAUAUGUCCAAAUAGUAUUUCUAAGAUAAUUUUUUCUUCACCUUAACCUUCGGUGCGUGAUAUGUUUUAUUUAUAUUUUUUAAACUAAUUUUUUUGGAUGCAUGAUAUAUUUUUUAUUAUUGUUUGUACUUUUUUGAUUCACAAUAUUAUUUUUUAAACUAAUUUAGAUAGCACUUUUAGUAUGAUAUUUUUUUUCUAAUUUUUUUCAAGAUACAUCU
rnacentral:lncRNA from 1 species